UUGGUUCAUGAUGACCACCGGUGGCAAUUGACUCAUACAUGAUGACUACACGUCUGAAACACCAAGAUUAAC